AUUAAAAUACCUGUGGAUAUACAAAUUUUAUAUCAUUCCAAGUGAAGCCUCAAUUGCUUAUAAUUACUAGAUUUCAAAGCAUACAAUUAUCAGCGUAUACAUAGAAUGUGAGAAGAGGCAGCAUCGUGUGAUCCUCUCUCCGACCACCCAUGGUUCCUCUCUUGAUGGUUGUCAUUGUCCUAGACCCUAGAGAUUGAGCUGGUCUUAGAAUCUGCCAUCUUCAAUCAAGGCACUCUGAGAGUAAUUAUGGGAAGUUGCAAACACUUGGUUGGGAAAAGUGUAGCUGAACUAAUAAAGAGGUAUACAUUCACUAGCUACAAUGAUAUAUAUAAAGUAGAUAUAGAUAGAACAUUGGAGAAGGAUCCUCAUGGCAUUGCUCUUGUGGAUUUCGUUAACUCGAUUUGACGUCAAAUUAUUCCUUUAGUAGAUGGCUCAGUUUAUGUGGAUGUUCCUUCUGCACUUCUGUUGCUCUUGAUAUAUCCAUGAGUGUUUGCUACUAUAA